UGGGGAAUAUUGGACAAUGGGCGCAAGCCUGAUCCAGCCAUGCCGCGUGGGUGAUGAAGGCCCUAGGGUUGUAAAGCCCUGUCGGCGGGGAAGAUAAUGACGGUACCCGCAGAAGAAGCCCCGGCUAACUUCGUGCCAGCAGCCGCGGUAAUACGAAGGGGGCUAGCGUUGCUCGGAAUUACUGGGCGUAAAGCGCACGUAGGCGGAUUGUUAAGUCGGGGGUGAAAUCCUGGAGCUCAACUCCAGAACUGCCUUCGAAACUGGCGAUCUUGAGUCCGGGAGAGGUGAGUGGAACUGCGAGUGUAGAGGUGAAAUUCGUAGAUAUUCGCAAGAACACCAGUGGCGAAGGCGGCUCACUGGCCCGGUACUGACGCUGAGGUGCGAAAGCGUGGGGAGCAAACA
rnacentral:rRNA from 1 species